AACGAACGCUGGCGGCAUGCCUAACACAUGCAAGUCGAACGAAACCUUCGGGUCUAGUGGCGCACGGGUGCGUAACGCGUGGGAACCUGCCCUUAGGUUCGGCAUAACUCCCCGAAAGGGGUGCUAAUACCGGAUAAUGUCUUCGGACCAAAGAUUUAUCGCCUUUGGAUGGGCCCGCGUUGGAUUAGCUAGUUGUUAGGGUACAAGCCUACCACGGCGACGAUCCAUAGCUGGUCGGAGAGGAUGAUCAGCCACACUGGGACUGAGACACGGCCCAGACUGCUACGGGAGGCAGCAGUGGGGAAUAUUGGACAAUGGGCGAAAGCCUGAGCCAGCAAGGCCGGGUGAGUGAUGAAGGCCUUAGGGUUGUAAAGCUCUUUUAACCGGGAUGAUAAUGACAGUACCGGGAGAAUAAGCUCCGGCUAACUCCGUG
rnacentral:rRNA from 1 species